AACGAACGCUGGCGGCGUGGAUAAGACAUGCAAGUCGAACGAGACUUUUCGUUGUAGCAAUACGAUGGAAAGUUUAGUGGCGAACGAGUGCUUAACACGUGGGCAACCUGCCAGGAAGUGGGGGAUAGCUCGCCGAAAGGCGAAUUAACACCGCAUGUGAUUAGAGAGGACAUCCUUUCGAAAUUAAAGUCGGGGCAACCUGACGCUUCUUGUGGGGCCCGCGGCCUAUCAGCUAGUUGGUGUGGUAACGGCUCACCAAGGCUUUGACGGGUAACUGGGCUGAGAGGACGACCAGCCACACUGGGACUGAGACACGGCCCAGACACCUACGGGUGGCAGCAGUCGAGAAUUUUUGACAAUGGGGGAAACCCUGAUCGAGCGACGCCGCGUGGAGGAUGAAGGUCUUCGGAUUGUAAACUCCUGUCAUUGGGGAACAAUGCAUAAAUAUUAACUGUAUUUGUGUUGAUAGUACCCGAAGAGGAAGAGACGGCUAACUCUGUGCCAGCAGCCGCGGUAAAAC
rnacentral:rRNA from 1 species